UAUAGCAAUUAACAUGAGUUUAUUAAUGGUUUAAUCAAGGAUAGAUCUUGCUCCUUUGAUUUACCUCCCUCCUUGUCUUGUUAAUCCCCUUCCUUCCUUUUUUACCUUUAUAUUUGUAUGUUUGACCUAGCCCAAUAAUUGGGUCCACAGCAACAUGGGCGUGUCUCCCUUAGAAACACUUAGUUUCAUGUGUGACUCAUAAGCUGAAGCACAGACACCACUUCCCCAAUCUACCGGAGCCAUUUUAACAGCAUAAAACUUGCCGGAUUGCUUUUUAUUUUCAAGCCCAAAAGGUGAAAUCUAAAGAGAAAGAAUGUUUGAAGAGACAGAGUCUUGGUGAAUUGCCCAGUUUCACCCACCCGAGUAGCUGCAAUUACAGUUAAACCACGAUGAGAGGAACAGAGACACAGAUGUACAGUUGCUGCUUUAAUUUCCCAUCAAGGAAACCAGUUAAGCAGAAAACUUACUUUAUUAAACUUUUGAAACUUUUUGACUCUAGGGAUGUUGUAGGCUUGUUUUGUAUUGUAUCAGUUAUAAGGACUAUGGUGGCAAUUAGAUGUUUGAUAUAGGAUCUAACAG
ensembl:lncRNA